GUGUCAGCCGCCGCGGUAAUACGGAGGGUGCAAGCGUUAUCCGGAUUUACUGGGUUUAAAGGGUGCGCAGGCGGAUAUGUAAGUCAGUGGUGAAAUCUCCGGGCUUAACCCGGAAACUGCCGUUGAUACUAUAUAUCUUGAAUGCUGUGGAGGUAAGCAGAAUAUGUCAUGUAGCGGUGAAAUGCUUAGAUAUGACAUAGAAUACCUAUUGCGAAGGCAGCUUACUACGCAGAUAUUGACGCUCAUGCACGAAAGCGUGGGGAUCAAACAGGAUUAGAUACCCUGGUAGUCCACGCCCUAAACGAUGAUUACUCGACAUACGCGAUAUACAGUGUGUGCCUGAGCGAAAGCAUUAAGUAAUCCACCUGGGAAGUACGAUCGCAAGAUUGAA
rnacentral:rRNA from 1 species